AGUCUUACUGUUUUCCAUCAAGGUGUCACCAAUCUUCCAGUCUCCCAGGCAGAAGUUUUUGAGAGCUUCAACCAGCACUACUACUUGAGGACCUAUGCAGUGUUUGUCCAUGAGCAUGGAAUGACUCAUACUGGCCUCAGAGUUAGGGACUCACUUUAAAGGAAAGGGGAUGCAGUAGUGGGCACAUGACUAAGAAAUCCACCGAUCCUCUCAUAUACUGCACCACCAGAAGCUGCUGGAUUAGCAGAGCAAAGGCAAAGAUUGACCAGACCAAGCCCUGAGACACAGUGUUGAGAGCCAAGACAUAAAGUUGUGAAGAUUCAGACCCAGAGCCCAGCAGGGCACAGGCUGGAGGGGUGAUGUGAGUGAUCAGUAACACCAUGAAGACUCUGCUCCUGGGUCAGGAAUGCUUUUUUGUCCCUGUUUUUGGAUUUUCCACCAUGAUCAGCCAAUGCAGAAAGAAAUCU
rnacentral:lncRNA from 10 species